rnacentral:rRNA from 1 species
GCGCAGCAGGCGCGAAACCUCCGCAAUGCGGGAAACCGUGACGGGGUCACCCCGAGUGCCACCCGAUGAGGGUGGCUUUUCCCCGGUCUAAAAAGCCGGGGGCAAUAAGCGGGGGGCAAGUCUGGUGUCAGCCGCCGCGGUAAUACCAGCCCCGCGAGUGGUCGGGACGUUUAUUGGGCCUAAAGCGUCCGUAGCCGGCUCGGUAAGUCCCUCCUUAAAUCCACGGGCUCAACCCGUGGGCUGGGAGGGAUACUGCCGGGCUAGGGGGCGGGAGAGACCGAGGGGUACUCCCGGGGUAGGGGCGAAAUCCGUUAAUCCCGGGAGGACCACCAGUGGCGAAGGCGCUCGGCUGGAACGCGCCCGACGGUGAGGGACGAAAGCUAGGGGAGCAAAGGGGAUUAGAUACCCGUGUAGU